rnacentral:piRNA from 1 species
GCAUUCAAGGCUUGUCUAGUCUGCCCAAA